rnacentral:tRNA from 1 species
GGUCCCGUAGUUCAACGGAUAGAAUAGGAGUUUCCUAAACUCUAGAUAUGAGUUCGAUUCUCGUCGGGACCAC